AAUAGAUACCCUGGUAGUCCACGCCCUAAACGAUGUCAACUAGCUGUUGGGGUCUUCGGACCUUGGUAGCGCAGCUAACGCGUGAAGUUGACCGCCUGGGGAGUACGGUCGCAAGAUUAAAACUCAAAGGAAUUGACGGGGACCCGCACAAGCGGUGGAUGAUGUGGAUUAAUUCGAUGCAACGCGAAAAACCUUACCUACCCUUGACAUGUCUGGAAUCCUGAAGAGAUUUAGGAGUGCUCGCAAGAGAACCGGAACACAGGUGCUGCAUGGCUGUCGUCAGCUCGUGUCGUGAGAUGUUGGGUUAAGUCCCGCAACGAGCGCAACCCUUGUCAUUAGUUGCUACGAAAGGGCACUCUAAUGAGACUGCCGGUGACAAACCGGAGGAGGUGGGGAUGACGUCAAGUCCUCAUGGCCCUUAUGGGUAGGGCUUCACACGUCAUACAAUGGUCGGGACAGAGGGUCGCCAACCCGCGAGGGGGAGCCAAUCCCAGAAACCCGAUCGUAGUCCGGAUCGCAGUCUGCAA
rnacentral:rRNA from 1 species